rnacentral:lncRNA from 1 species
UUCCAUUUCUAUAUAAUAUAGUAUUUAUAAUGUUUUGCUUUAACAAAUAUUUUUCCCUAGACUAGAAAAAACUGUUUGUGUAAGAGACAUCCUUCUUUCCUUUGAAAUUGAACCUCACAAUAAAAGUUCACGCCCUAACUGUAGGGUCCACAAACUAGAAAAAUGGAGAUGAUGAAGGGCCCAACAGAGAUGUCGCAGAACGGCAGAAGCACCCCAGAAAGUCAACUUGAAGAAGGAUAUGGUGG